AUACCGGACUCUACGAGGCUCGGUAAUUGAAAUGAGUACAGUUUAAAACCUUUAACGAGGAUCUAUUGGAGGGCAAGUCUGGUGCCAGCAGCCGCGGUAAUUCCAGCUCCAAUAGCGUAUAUUAAAGUUGUUGCAGUUAAAAAGCUCGUAGUUGGAUCUCGGGCGCCAGUUUGUGGUACGCUUGAUUGCUGUUACUACUUGUCUGGCCCUAAUCAACCGGUUCGCCGUUAAUGUCCUUUAUUGGGUGUUUUCGGUAGCCGGUACGUUUACUUUGAGAAAAUUAGAGUGCUUAAAGCAGGCCUUACGCCUGAAUAAUGUUGCAUGGAAUAAUAGAAUAGGACCUCGGUUUUAUUUUGUUGGUUUUGUAGAGCAUUGAGGUAAUGAUUAAUAGGGACAGACGGGGGCAUUCGUAUUGCGGUGUUAGAGGUGAAAUUCUUGGAUCGCCGCAAGACGAACAACUGCGAAAGCAUUUGCCAAGAAUGUUUUCAUUAAUCAAGAUCGAAAGUUGGAGGUUCGAAGACGAUUAGAUACCGUCCUAGUUCCAACUGUAAACGAUGCCAACUAACAAUCCGUCGCACUUAAUUAAACGAGUCGGCGGGCGGUUUCCGGGAAACCAAAGCCUUUGGGUUCCGGGGGAAGUAUGGUUGCAAAGCUGAAACUUAAAGGAAUUGACGGAAGGGCACCACCAGGAGUGGAGCCUGCGGCUUAAUUUGACCCAACACGGGAAAACUCACCCGGCCCGGACACUGUAAGGAUUGACAGAUUGAGAGCUCUUUCUUGAUUCGGUGGGUGGUGGUGCAUGGCCGUUCUUAGUUGGUGGAGCGAUUUGUCUGGUUAAUUCCGAUAACGAACGAGACUCUAGCCUGCUAAAUAGUACGCCGAUCUUUAGUCGGCGCGUACUUCUUAGAGGGACAAGUAGCGGUAAGCUACACGAAAUUGAGCAAUAACAGGUCUGUGAUGCCCUUAGAUGUUCGGGGCCGCACGCGCGCUACACUGAAGGGAUAAGCGUGUACUUCCUGCUCCGAAAGGAGUGGGUAACCCGCUGAAACCCCUUCGUGAUUGGGAUCGGGGCUUGAAAUUUUUCUCCGUGAACGAGGAAUUCCCAGUAAGCGCGAGUCAUCAGCUCGCGUUGAUUACGUCCCUGCCCUUUGUACACACCGCCCGUCGCUACUACCGAUUGAAUGGUUUAGUGAGAUCCUCGGAUCGGUCCGGAGGUGGCUUCACGGUCGCCUCUAGGUGCUGAGAAGACGAUCAAACUUGAUCAUUUAGAGGAAGUAAAAGUC
rnacentral:rRNA from 1 species